CUCGCUCUAACGGGGUGCCCGGUGUUUCGACCGUGCUGAGAGGCCAGAUGGCCAACCCGAAGAACCUGAUCCGGUUUGUACCGGCGGAGGGAUUAGACGUGCUUCCCGC
rnacentral:ncRNA from 2 species